GUCGCUAGCCUGAUGAAGCAUUUCGGAUGUAAAUUACACAAACCACCGAGUGCGCAAAACCGUGUGGAUACCUCCGUUGCCUUCCUUCUGAGCCUGGCGC
rnacentral:snoRNA from 1 species